AGAGUUUGAUCCUGGCUCAGGAUGAACGCUGGCGGCGUGCCUAAUACAUGCAAGUCGAGCGAACGGACGAGAAGCUUGCUUCUCUGAUGUUAGCGGCGGACGGGUGAGUAACACGUGGAUAACCUACCUAUAAGACUGGGAUAACUUCGGGAAACCGGAGCUAAUACCGGAUAAUAUUUUGAACCGCAUGGUUCAAAAGUGAAAGACGGUCUUGCUGUCACUUAUAGAUGGAUCCGCGCUGCAUUAGCUAGUUGGUAAGGUAACGGCUUACCAAGGCAACGAUGCAUAGCCGACCUGAGAGGGUGAUCGGCCACACUGGAACUGAGACACGGUCCAGACUCCUACGGGAGGCAGCAGUAGGGAAUCUUCCGCAAUGGGCGAAAGCCUGACGGAGCAACGCCGCGUGAGUGAUGAAGGUCUUCGGAUCGUAAAACUCUGUUAUUAGGGAAGAACAUAUGUGUAAGUAACUGUGCACAUCUUGACGGUACCUAAUCAGAAAGCCACGGCUAACUACGUGCCAGCAGCCGCGGUAAUACGUAGGUGGCAAGCGUUAUCCGGAAUUAUUGGGCGUAAAGCGCGCGUAGGCGGUUUUUUAAGUCUGAUGUGAAAGCCCACGGCUCAACCGUGGAGGGUCAUUGGAAACUGGAAAACUUGAGUGCAGAAGAGGAAAGUGGAAUUCCAUGUGUAGCGGUGAAAUGCGCAGAGAUAUGGAGGAACACCAGUGGCGAAGGCGACUUUCUGGUCUGUAACUGACGCUGAUGUGCGAAAGCGUGGGGAUCAAACAGGAUUAGAUACCCUGGUAGUCCACGCCGUAAACGAUGAGUGCUAAGUGUUAGGGGGUUUCCGCCCCUUAGUGCUGCAGCUAACGCAUUAAGCACUCCGCCUGGGGAGUACGACCGCAAGGUUGAAACUCAAAGGAAUUGACGGGGACCCGCACAAGCGGUGGAGCAUGUGGUUUAAUUCGAAGCAACGCGAAGAACCUUACCAAAUCUUGACAUCCUUUGACAACUCUAGAGAUAGAGCCUUCCCCUUCGGGGGACAAAGUGACAGGUGGUGCAUGGUUGUCGUCAGCUCGUGUCGUGAGAUGUUGGGUUAAGUCCCGCAACGAGCGCAACCCUUAAGCUUAGUUGCCAUCAUUAAGUUGGGCACUCUAAGUUGACUGCCGGUGACAAACCGGAGGAAGGUGGGGAUGACGUCAAAUCAUCAUGCCCCUUAUGAUUUGGGCUACACACGUGCUACAAUGGACAAUACAAAGGGCAGCGAAACCGCGAGGUCAAGCAAAUCCCAUAAAGUUGUUCUCAGUUCGGAUUGUAGUCUGCAACUCGACUACAUGAAGCUGGAAUCGCUAGUAAUCGUAGAUCAGCAUGCUA
rnacentral:rRNA from 1 species